AUUGGUGCUUGCAUCAUGAUUUACAUUUGAGUCGAGUCGGCGAACUCGGUGAGUAACACGUGGGAAACCUGCCCAGAAGCGGGGGAUAACACCUGGAAACAGAUGCUAAUACCGCAUAACAACUUGGACCGCAUGGUCCGAGCUUGAAAGAUGGCUUCGGCUAUCACUUUUGGAUGGUCCCGCGGCGUAUUAGCUAGAUGGUGGGGUAACGGCUCACCAUGGCAAUGAUACGUAGCCGACCUGAGAGGGUAAUCGGCCACAUUGGGACUGAGACACGGCCCAAACUCCUACGGGAGGCAGCAGUAGGGAAUCUUCCACAAUGGACGAAAGUCUGAUGGAGCAACGCCGCGUGAGUGAAGAAGGGUUUCGGCUCGUAAAACUCUGUUGUUAAAGAAGAACAUAUCUGAGAGUAACUGUUCAGGUAUUGACGGUAUUUAACCAGAAAGCCACGGCUAACUACGUGCCAGCAGCCGCGGUAAUACGUAGGUGGCAAGCGUUGUCCGGAUUUAUUGGGCGUAAAGCGAGCGCAGGCGGU
rnacentral:rRNA from 2 species